rnacentral:rRNA from 1 species
AGCGCAGACGGUUUAUUAAGUCUGGUGUGAAAGCCCGGAGCUCAACUCCGGAAUGGCAUUGGAAACUGGUUAACUUGAGUGCAGUAGAGGUAAGUGGAACUCCAUGUGUAGCGGUGGAAUGCGUAGAUAUAUGGAAGAACACCAGUGGCGAAGGCGGCUUACUGGACUGCAACUGACGUUGAGGCUCGAAAGUGUGGGUAGCAAACA